rnacentral:lncRNA from 1 species
UACAAAAUGCAGCCCAGAUGUUCCCUCCUUGAAGAAUCUCCUCUAACUGUGUGGCCUGCUGCAACUCAGCGUCGUCCUGACCUCUGCAGUAGCACUUACCAUGCCCCAACUGAGGGUGAGUUCCUGGAGGCACACGCCACGCCCCCCUCAUCUACAGCAAGGUGCCUGGCACUCGGUGGGUGUCGUGACUGUGUUGAAUAAGGGAUCAAAGUGCACCACCCCGAGCGAGCUGGCUGUGCUCUGACGAGUCUGGAGCUGGAAGAAUAAGCACAAGCCACCCUUCCUCAAUUCAAAAACAGGAAAGCGACUUCUGGAGGUUUCUUUGUCUCCCUUGUGGAGCAGGAUACACAUUUUUAGUGCUGAGUGUUCCAAGCUGAAGAGCUUUACCUUCUUGGAGCUAUCCAUUUCCAGCACCUCUUUAAAUACUAAUGAGAGUCUCUCCCUGGGGGUAUCUGGCAGAUUCAGCUUCACUCUGAAUAAUUUCCAUCCUCUUUGUGCGGAGAGGCAGGGCUGGCCCUCUCACUGUGACAAAAGGCUGCUCCUGGUGCACCUCCCUUCCAGGAAUGGAGGUAGAAAGAAAACCGAAUAGCAUUGACUCAUUUAAUCUCCAUGACCACCUUUUCAGCACUGGAGGUCUGUUUCAAGGACACCUGGGAAAACUAGAAAGGCUGCACAACCAGACCUCUGGAGACAUGGAACAUUGUUUGUUGCUACAUAUAAUUCAUCAGCGGCAUCGCAAUCCGCAGGGGUUUACCUACUGCAUUAUGGCUCUCAGCGGAGAGAAAGAAGAGCACUGGCUUUGAGUCCUGGCCCUGUCACUUUCCAACAGUGUGAUCCGGGAUAAGGGUAAGACUUCUCUUGAGUUUGUUUUCUCAUCUGCAAAGUGGGCAUAAAUCAGGGGAAGGUCCAGGUCUUGUGGGGGUUAAAACUUAUACAAUUUGGGGGCCCUGUUUAAGAAAAAGAAUACAAAAUGAUGAAUACAAAAUUAUUUACAAAACUUACAUUUAGAUUGAGAAAAGAAAUUACCAUAAACUACAAAUUAAAAAAAAUACUACAAACAUCAUAUAGUUAAGAAAUAUAAUAUACUAAUAUUAUUUAGAUACCUGGUAUACCUCUUUUUCUUACCUUUUUUGGCUAGUUACUGUCUGAUUACCCUUUUAUGGGCCAAUGAUUUUGUACUAUCUUUGUCUACAGAGAGAAUAGAAAGAUACUGUAUUCUUUCCUCUUGCAUGCUG